GCCCCCAUAGCUCAGGGGAUAGAGCACCGCCCUCCGGAGGCGGGGGCGCAGGUUCGAUUCCUGCUGGGGGCG
rnacentral:tRNA from 1 species